UUUGAUAAAAUCUAAAAUUUCUCUUCUUUAGCCUAUUGAAAUUAAAUCGGCAUGUCAUUUUUAUCAUUGGAGUAUUUGAACAGAAUCAUUUGUCCAGAAGCUCGGAAAAACCUCUAAAAACACCUGUGUUGAAAUACGGGAGUCAUCGAGACCCCUCCCCCCUCGGACAAUUUCUAACCGACCAAACUACUCCUGGCCAAAUACAAUCGGACAACGGAAAAUAUUUAUCAGUAUCAGUAAAAUUCAAUACAGCAUCUUAAAGAUGGCUCGCAUUGGACAGAGAAAAAUAUUGUCAUUUCUACUUCUCUCCAUUCCAUGGCUCGUUGUCUAUAGCGUCUCCAAAAACAAUGACUUCUUUAAAAAUUUGGCGAAAGGGAUUUCCGUUAUUAGAAUAAGGAACAACUGGGGGAGCAAUAUGUCGAAAAGUGUUGUCGUAGCACGAAUUUUGAGCAACGACUUGCCUCCUCUGCACGGAGAUCGCCAAACAUACCUAAACAGUAGAUUUAUUCUGCAACAUGAGAUUUUACCACCCGAUUUUAAACGUCUCUGGAUUCUCAAUUCUAUAGUCAAUAAAAGCAAGCAAGAGGAGUUGGAAACAUUGCUCACUACUUAUGACGAGUGGUUCGAAACUAUCAGCUUUCCGAAGACUAAUAACUCAAAGGUUUUAGAACAACAAGUUUUGAAUGUGAACAGAGCUCGAAAUAUUGGAAUUUGGGAAGCUUUCCAGUCUGGUGCAAAUUGGGUUCUCGUUUUGGAUGGUUGCUCAUUUUUGACCUCUGAAAGUUUGUCUUCCAUUGCUCCAUUCAUACGAGACAAGACAAGAAAAGAAGUACUUUAUUUUAUUCCUAUGGUUCGCCUGCAGCAUAAAGAACCAGCAGUGUCGAUGAAUACUUCUUAUUCCCAACUUUUUCCUUACAUAUCAGGACAACAAGAGUGCCAACUUGGAAUAAGUCGAAAAGCGUUUGAUUCCCAAAUUAUACAAAAUAUAACAACGCCUCAGAACGGUUACGUUUUUGAUGAAAAGAAGCUCUAUGCCGAUGCAAACAAGCUUGAUUUCUUAAUACGUGCGCAUGAAUCACGUUUCAAGCAAUAUGUGCAUUGUCAAUCAUCUAUGGUGGGGUGGCAAAUAGAGAAGUCUAGAAGUGUGGAGAGAGACCUGAAACGAAUGAAAAGAUGUGGAUACGUUUUGCGACUACUUUAUCACCCAGAGGAUAGUGCUCCAGCCAAUCAGUCACUAUCCGGUCAGGAAAGAUCUGAUCAGAGACACGAUUCUAAAAGGAAUUUUGAGAAAACUCUGAAAACACUAGCCUCGGAGUAUCAAUAAAAGCAAUUAUAAAGCAUCAAGGGCGGAUAUGACGCUAGGAGUAAGCGGUGCUGGCUCUUUUCCAGUUUCCCAGCCCCCUCGUAGAGUUACAAUGCAAAGUUGUUCAAAAAAUACUCAUACGGCAACUUGCAUUCGUUCAUGCGGACACGUUAUGUUAAGUUAAAUAAUCAAGGUCAUAUUAGAUAAGCUUUUGGAUCUCUAAUUUCAGUAAAAAUCAAUGGGUGGAACUGAAAAGAGCGGUGGUGUUUUUAGUUUCUAAGGCGGGCUAGAUGAGUUU